CAACGUCUUUGUUUUGCUGCUGUAGGAACUUGCUGUCCACUACUUGGCUCCAGGACUCUGCCUCCAGCUGCUUGGAAUCUAAUUCCAGUUCUCCCAUGAGCUGUCCUUCAUUCAUGUCCGCUCCUUCACAAAGCAAUAAUCAUCACCAGGGGAUCUCAGCAGUUAAAACCAGCCACAGGAAGGAAAUAACAUGGAUCCCUGUCCAGAACUGACUGCACUGCACUACACCUAAAAUUCCUAGAUGCAUUUCUGCUUUCUGGAGUGGCAUCUCUGAUAAAUACCACAGUGAUUACAACUGUAUUAUGCAGUGUGGCUCCACAUAGAGAUCUCCAAGCUAUCACUUAACAAAGCUUAUCACUUAAGAUUAUCAAAUUAUGGCACUAUAAAAACCCAUUUGGGCUAUUUCAUGCCUAUUCUAUACCCUUGGUCACACUGUACUGCAAAGUCAGGAAAAGUUUGUCAGCAUUCCUCCUAUUCAAAAUUAAACUUUUUAUUUUGACUACC